UUUUUUUUGUUUCAGCGCAAGUAAUAAGCAUCGACUUCACAUUGCACAAGAGCAAAAGAGGUGCAUUGAUUCUGGUUUGCGAUGGUUUUAAAUAUCGUAGAGAUUACUUGCACGGCGAGAGAGUGUCGUGGAGAUGUGUCCGAAGACAGUGGGGGUGCAAAGCGACCGUUGGCACCGUUGGGAAUGAACUAGUCAAGUUAUCUGGGGUGCAUUCCCACCCUCCAGAAGAUGCCGAUGAUAUAAUGACUGGACCUCAAGACAGUGGCUUUCCAGGAUGAGAACGGGCGGAGAGUUCUCAUGGUUGGUGACAAGCGCUUCAUGAGGCACUACGUGAACAGCAGGGGACGCAUCCGAUGGAGAUGCUGUAAGUCCUUCAAUAGAUGUCGCGCCAUCGCCAUUACUGAUGGCAUGCAUAUCGUCAAACUCAACGAUAGGCACAACCACAUAUAAAUAGUAACUUUCAAAUUAAGCGACCGUGAAUUUUAGUAAUAAUAGAAUUAAAACUGGCAAGAUAUUUUUGACUCUAGCUGCCUCUCUGUAUAAAACAAUAAUUAUAGAACUAAACAAUAACACUAUUUUUGUUAUUGAUUAAUUUUAAAGAUAUCAGUGACGUUUCUGUGAAUUUUUGGAUUCAAGUUACAUUUUAACAUUUUUAUUAUAGCGCUUUUACAGAUUUAUUUAAUUGUAAAUACCGUUUGCAAUUGCAUGACGAGUAAUAUUAAUAAUAUUAUUAUGUUAAGUAGCAAAAUAUUGCCAGUAUGUAUUUGGUAGUGGCUUUGUAGUACUAAUUACCCUACGUAUGAUAAAGUGUAAACUUAUAUACGAAUUUCUUGUAAAUAGUCAUGUGAAUUGAUAAUUUAAAGAAAAUAUUUACCUACUUGCAUUACAAUAAUUUGUAAGGCUGGGUUGCACCAUAUUACUUUAACUUUGACAAACGUCAAAAAUCUGUCAAACUCCUUACAAAAAGCACCGGUUAUCGUUAGAGUUACAGUCAAAGUUAGGUGGUGCAACUCAGCCUAAGUGUUUUAGUUUUAAGCCAUUAUCAUAAAACAUUUGAAUACCUAGGUAGGUGUUGUGUAUUCAUUCAUCAUUCGUGUUUAAGUGCGAGUAGGAAUGAUAUUUUCUUUUGGUACUUAUUUUAUUUUUACUGAUAAGCCGUGUUUUCUGUAGUUUAUUUUGUGUUUGAUACAUUAAUAAGUAAGUAUAAUAUGUAAUUUUAUAAGACGUCCGUUUUUACUUAUUAUAUUUUUAACAAUUGUUUAUGUUUUAGAGACGUCUCUUGAAUGUAAAACAAUAAAUAAAUUAUUAUGUUUAUUGCAGUGAA